rnacentral:rRNA from 1 species
UACGGAGGGUGCAAGCGUUGUUCGGAAUCACUGGGCGUAAAGGGCGCGUAGGCGGUCUUGCAAGUCUGAUGUGAAAGCCCGGGGCUCAACUCCGGAAGGGCAUUGGAAACUGUAAGACUUGAGUUCGGGAGAGGAAGGCAGAAUUCCCGGUGUAGGGUUGAAAUCCGUAGAUAUCGGGAGGAAAACCGGUGGCGAAGGCGGCCUUCUGGAACGAAACUGACGCUGAGGCGCGAAAGCGUGGGGAGCAAAC